GCCCUGCCACAAACAGGAAAAGGAAGAGGUGAGUUUUCAUGGGUUACUUGCUCCCUCCAGCCUCCCAAGUUUUCCACUCGGCUGAAACUUUGACAGCGCCUGAUAAUCCAUCAGGGGGCUUUCCCCCUUUCCUCUCGCCUCCCGCGCUGACCACCUCCAGGAACCCAGCCUCUGUCUGUUGGCUGCCCUUAAUGGUCCGGACUUCCUCUUUUCACACGGACCCCGGAAAAGUUUCCCACCCCUCGGUUCCCUUGGGUGAGCCCCGUCAGGGGAGGUUGCCUCUGCAGCUCGCCUGGAAGGAGAGGGAGUCAAAAGGUAAAUUAUUUAUUAAAGCGGAGGAUAAUAAGGGAUCAGCACAAUUAUGAAUUGACAGUGUUACCUGCGGCUCCUGGAAAGGCAGAGCUGGACGGCGAGAGGGAGAGGCGAGGAGAAAGCGC